GAGAAUAUUGUGCAAAGAAUGGCCAGAUGGGAUUAACAAAGGGAGGUUUUCCCUGAGAAAGAAAAAGGUAAGAAUUAUCCAAUGUUAACUUUACAAAGUCUGUAAAUCUAUUCUGAAUAGCUUUUUUUCCUCGAAAAAUUUUAGUUGAUGAGGAAUCUGGAUUAAAGGAUUCAGAACCAGAGCGAAAACGCAAGAAGACUGAAGACUCUUCUUCAGGCAAAUCAGUGGCGUCUGAUGUCCCUGAGGAAUUAGACUUUCUUGUACCUAAGGCUGGAUUCUUCUGUCCAAUUUGUUCCCUCUUCUACUCAGGUGAAAAAGCAAUGACAAAUCACUGCAAGAGUACACGUCAUAAGCAAAAUACUGAGGUAAUUUUAAAAAUUCUUACAAAAUCUUGAGGUGUUGUUAUUGUCUUAGAAUCAAAUUAUUUAUCUCCCCAAACGUACAUUUCCCCCCGCUUUAGGAGAAUGUUUAUGCCAGUUUAUUCCUCUUAAGUCCUGUUUUCUCCUUCAGUGUACCUUGCCUGUAAUUUCUAGUCCUUAUUCCUUUUCCUUGAACAGCAACAUUUGCCAGAGUAGAUUCUGCAGAUCACUAGUCUCAUAUGACACUCCAUUAUUAAAGUAAGAAACUGCAUGUUUUGAUGCCCUCUUG
rnacentral:lncRNA from 10 species